rnacentral:rRNA from 1 species
UGCGUAGGAAUCUACCUAGUAGUACGGAAUAGCCAUUAGAAAUGGUGGGUAAUACUGUAUAAUCCCCGAGGGGGAAAGAUUUAUCGCUAUUAGAUGAGCCUACGUUAGAUUAGCUAGUUGGUGAGGUAAUGGCUUACCAAGGCUAUGAUCUAUAGCUGGUCUGAGAGGACGAUCAGCCACACUGGAACUGAGAUACGGUCCAGACUCCUACGGGAGGCAGCAGUGGGGAAUAUUGGACAAUGGGCGAAAGCCUGAUCCAGCUAUGCCGCGUGAGUGAAGAAGGCCUUCGGGUUGUAAAACUCUUUCAAUAGGGAAGAUAAUGACGGUACCUAUAGAAGAAGUCCCGGCAAAACUCUGU